CACCACACGCGGGCCGUGGCGUGGGGACAGCCCGGUAGUGGGAACGGCUCUGGACACUCACGUCGGGGAUGUGGCAGAGGCCUUGGGGUGGGCUCUGGACUCUCACAUCGGAGAUGUGGCAGAGGCCUCGGGUGGGCGUGCACAGGAAAGGCAUUGGCCUCAAGUACUCCGUGGACCUGGCUGGCCCUGCCCGCCGCACUCCUUCACACAGGUUCUUUAUUGCCAUUGUCCCCGCCCGCAUCAAAGGAUCCCAGCAUGCUUCCCACAGCCUGGAAUUCCUUUGCUGGGAAUGGGAGACAAAGCCAUACUUUCUAUCAUCAGAGAGGAAAGGCCCAAAAUGCAAACAUGCAGCCAGAGAGAGGCUGUGGCAGGCAGGAGUUUCUGAGUAGGGAGUGUCAGAUCCCCUCCUACUGAGUGCCACUUUCCCUUCUGAGACAGCAUGGGAGCCGUCAGCCUACGAACUGGAGAGAACUCCAGGAAGGAGCCCUUUUCUUCCUGCAAUGAGGGCAACCGGAAGCUGUGGCCACGGCACCUGCUGUCCCCGGAGCCUGGGCACCGACGUAAGGGAGGAAGGCGGCGCCUCCCUUUUCCCCUGCCCUGGCCACAGGAGCCUCAGGAUUGACAGCUCAUCUGCGGGUAGGUCUGCCCAGGGAGGGGUCGCUGCAUAAGGGGUCUGUAGCCCCUGGGGCCCUGGGGUCCCUACCCUUGGUCACCUGCAGGCAUAAGUCGCUCCUUUCCUCUUCAGCUCUGGGGUGUGGUCCAGAAGUAGUGGACUGAACUAAGCAGCACAAUGGUCAGCAUCACCUGGGACUCCGCCUAGAAUGCUAGAAAUGCGCAUUCUUGCCCCCAAUCCCCACAAGACUUACUCAGUUAGAAACUCGGGAAACAAUCAGUGUGCCCAGCCCUCCAGGUGGGUGGUUCCGAUAUCUGUUCAGGUUUGAGAACCUUUGUGCUCAGGACCUCCGGUUACCAAAUCAUGCCACUUACGGUGACCAUUCUCAAAAGAUGGCAGAAGGAAGAAGGAUGAGGAAGACUUGAGCCUGGCCGGGCAAUCCUUGGUUUCCUCAUGAACCCUUGCAAUCGGGUUACAUUUUGAACAUCACUGGGACAUGCUAAGAACUCCUCUGGAGCACAGCAGUGCUCACAUCAAUAGUCCAGCAGAUUGAGCACGGAGAUGUCAGCAGACACACUUGCAAGUUUGGUCUGAAAACCAGAGGGACCGUGCCCACGAUCCCCGCCGUUUCCCUGACCAGCACGGCUGUGGCGAGUUCGUUGUUCAAUCCCGGAUGGCUCAGCAAAUCCAACCCCCUCCGCCCUGUUCUAUCGCCGCAUGGAUCUGCAGAGGCAGCCGUUCCUGCCGGGUGGAUUUGCCUUCCGCGAAGGACAACACAGAACCACUCUGAGUUAUUUGACACUGACAUCGAUCCUAGUUGGCUGACUCUGGUUGGUGGUGAGAGGACAAAUGUUCCCAGGGACUAUUAAACAACCACAAAAAUCUGAGAGGGCGGUUAUCUGAACAUGGAACAGAAACAAGACAGUAACGAGUUCCAAUGUUCUUUUUUUUUUCUACACAGGAUUCAAACGAACUCAGAGUAGCGAGAUCAGAAUACAUGAAUCUGACCUGUUUUUACUCACAACACCUCUGAUACCAAGUGCGUGGGUUUUUUUCACACCGAAAACCAGUUCUCCCAACUCUCCAGACACCAACUGGGUGGCCUACGAUUCCGUUCAAACGUGACACUAACUCCACAGGCUCCGAGGCUCAGUCCCUCAGGACUGCCCUGAGUUCAGACGCCAGCCUCCUGACUCCAGCCCAGGGUACCCACACUUCUGUCCAACUUGGCUACAAAGUUGGGGGUUUCCUACAUUCCCCCCACCCUCCCUCCCAGUUUCACAUUCAGUAAUUUGCUAGAACAGCUCACAGAACUCAGGAAGGCACUUUACUGGUACUGGUUUAUUAUUAAUAUAAAGCAUUGGACUCAGAACAGCCAGAUGGAAAAGAUGCUUAGGACGAGGUGAGGGGGGUGGAAGGCCAAGGGGCUUCCUCAUCCUCUCCAGGCUGCCACCCCUCCCAACACACCUCCAUGUGUUCACCAACCCAGAAAUUCUCCACAUUUUUUUUUUUGAGUCAGCGUCUUGCUCUGUCACCCAGGCUGGAGCGCAGUGGCACGGUCUCGGCUCACUGCAACCUCUGCUUCCUGGGUUCAAGCAAUUCUCCUGCCUCAGCCUCCCGAGCAGCUGGGAUGACAAGUGUCUGCCACAUGUCUGGCUAAUUUUUGUACCUUUAGUAGAGACGGGGUUUCACCAUGUUGACCAGGCUGGUCUCAAACUCCUGACCUCCAGUGAUCCACCCACCUCGGCCUCCCAGUGCUGGGAUUACAGGUGUGAGCCACCCUGCCUGGCUCACAUUCUGUCAUUUGGGGCUCUUUUUUUUUUUUUUUUUGGAUUCAUUAUGUAGGCAUGAUUGAUUAAUCACUGGCUGUUGGUGAUUAACUUAAUCUCCAGCCCCUCUCCCCUCCCCAAAGGUCAGAGGUCUGAGCUGAAAGUUCUGACUAAUUCCAGCUCCCAGCCCCCAUCCUGGAGCUGCCCAGUCCUCUCACUGACAUUCAAAAAACACUCAUCCCUCUGGAGAUCCCAAGGGUUUUGGAAGCUCUGGACCAGAAAACAGGAUCAAAGACCAAAUAUGCAGCCACGGCCCCAUCCACCUCUGAGGGCAUGUGCUCUGGCCUUACUAUGACGGCGGCGGUGGCGAGUCUGAUACAGGCGGGAUGAUGCACGCUUUAUCUGGAACCCUUGGCCUUGGAUAAAAUUUGUCUUCUGUAGCAGUUACGUCCAUGGAGCUAAGUCCAGGUCCACCUGCCAUUGCAAUUAUGGCAGGGAAAAGGACAGAGGGAGCUGACGAUUACACCUAACUUUGGAUUUGGGGCACCCUUCUGUUCCCCCACUUCCUGCUUCGCUGACACUCACACCCCCAAAGGCGGUGGCGCAGAAGCUGAAAUCAGGGCUCAGGACUCCAUCUACAGCCAGGCCCACGAGCAGGGUCUGUUCUGAAGGCUCCACCAGCAGCUGUGUCCCAAGCCAACUGGCAAGACACCGUCCCACCCGACAGUGGCUUCCUCCCCGUGGCGUCAUCUCCCUUCCAAAGAGGGAGGAAUUUGGACUAUUACCCACGAACGAUAGCAGGCUAAGAAACAAAUUAUGAUUACGAAAGAUUAAAGAAAAAAAAAACCACCCACACCUACUGGCUGUACCUUUCCUGCAUGAUUUUUGCCACCGCAUGGGAAGCGGGCCAAUUGCUAUUUGCCUGGGUGUUUUAAAUAUCAGGAGAUCAGGAGAUUUGCUCCUGACAUAAUUUUUUUUCGAAGUGCAACAGAAAAUAGCACUUUUCACAACAAUUAACUGUUAACUGGCUCCAAAGAAGGUCUGCUUGUUAGACAUUAGGGAGGAAUAGAAGGCAUCUUCUCAGAUGUUGGCCUUUGCGGAGGCAAGGUCAGUGGUGCCGGGAGGUGACUCCCUGCAUUUCCGUAUGUCCGUUUCUUAAGUCGCACUAUUACUUCCCUUGAGUAAGGGACGUAAUAUUGAGUAAUAUUUAUUGAGCUGUGUGUGAGAGACUGUUUCAGGCUCCGGGAAAACAGCGAACAAAAUAAAAACAAAUUGGCUGCUUU
rnacentral:lncRNA from 1 species